ACACCGUUGGUGAAGUGGUUAUCAUGCUUGCCUUCCAUUUGGAUCAGCUUCGAAUCAGCAAGCGGCUCGGGUUCGAUUCCCGAACGGUGUA
rnacentral:tRNA from 1 species